rnacentral:rRNA from 1 species
AGUGAACGCUGGCGGUAGGCCUAACACAUGCAAGUCGAACGGCAGCACAGUAAGAGCUUGCUCUUACGGGUGGCGAGUGGCGGACGGGUGAGGAAUACAUCGGAAUCUACUUUUUCGUGGGGGAUAACGUAGGGAAACUUACGCUAAUACCGCAUACGACCUACGGGUGAAAGCAGGGGAUCUUCGGACCUUGCGCGAUUGAAUGAGCCGAUGUCGGAUUAGCUAGUUGGCGGGGUAAAGGCCCACCAAGGCGACGAUCCGUAGCUGGUCUGAGAGGAUGAUCGGCCGCACUGGAACUGGAACACGGACCAGACUCCUGCGAGAGGCAGCAGUGGGGAAUAUUGGGCAAUGGGCGCGAGCCUGAUCCAGCCAUACCGCGUGGGUGAAGAAGGCCUUCGGGUUGUAAAGACCUUUUGUUGGGAAAGAAAAGCAGCAGGUUAAUACCCCGCUGUUCUGACGGUACCCAAAGAAUAAGCACCGGCUAACUUCGUG